CACUUCAUGACUGAGAGCAGAACAGAACAGAAUCUUCAUCAUCACACAAGACAAAACAACAACAAUGAACAACAUCAUCAUCCUCAUCUGGACACUCACACUGUUGGCUCAAGAGUGUAGAGGACAGAUCACUGUUACUCAGAGUCCAUCAAUAACAGCAGCUCAACCAGGACAAGAACUCAGAAUAAACUGUAAAAUCAGCAGUAGAGUGUAUAGUGGCAAUUACUUACACUGGUACUUACAGAAACCUGGAGAAGCUCCUAAACUUCUCAUAUAUGCUGCAACAAGCCAUAACACUGGAACUCCAUCUAGAUUCAGUGGCAGUGGAUCUGACAGUGAUUUCACUCUGACCAUCAGUGGAGUCCAGACUGAAGAUACAGGAGAUUAUUACUGUCAGAGUGCACACCUCAUCAGUAACUCAGUGAUAGCUGGGUUUGACACAGUGAUAAGGAGUCGUACAAAAUCCUCCGUAGUCAGAGUCACAGUGACUGCACUGAUACAGCUGAGAGAUACUGCAGCUGCUGAUGGGAGGAUGUAG